AAACGUCUUAACGCAAGAGCGGUGACAAUUUGACAGAGAAAUUCCAUAGUCACCUUUUCCUAUUUGUUUGUGAAUAUCAAGAAUUCAAAAAGGAAUGAUGACUCAAGCUAUUAAUAUCCUUUUCUUUGUACUCUCUGUCAUUUUACUCUCAGGCUUUUUGGUGACUCCCUCUGAGGGAGAUUCACCAAGAUGCGGAAAUGGCUUACCUGCACAGUUUUGCGGUUCACCUCUCAUGGAAGAAGUAUGCCCGGAAAUGUGUAGAAGACUAGGGCGAGGAAAGAAAUAAGAAUCAAGUGGGGUGUAAUGAAAAUAGGUUGAUCACUGAUCUUAUCUGAAUUCCUACUAAACAUGUAAAAAUGCGUUGGAAAAUAUAAAAUUUCUGAAUAAAUA